UACAGAGGUCUCAAGCGUUGUUCGGAUUCAUUGGGCGUAAAGGGUGCGUAGGUGGCGUCGUAAGUCAGGUGUGAAAUCUCGGAGCUUAACUCCGAAACUGCAUUUGAUACUGCGGUGCUUGAGGACUGGAGAGGAGACUGGAAUUUACGGUGUAGCAGUGAAAUGCGUAGAGAUCGUAAGGAAGACCAGUGGCGAAGGCGGGUCUCUGGACAGUUCCUGACGCUGAGGCACGAAGGUCAGGGGAGCAAACGGG
rnacentral:rRNA from 1 species